AAGAUCUAAUGUUAAAUGGUUUUAACUAUAAACUUUCGAAGUUUCUUAAAGAAGUUCGAUUCUUCUAGAUUCUU
rnacentral:tRNA from 1 species